rnacentral:rRNA from 1 species
AUCAAUAAGCGGAGGAAAAGAAAAUAACAAUGAUUCCCCCAGUAACGGCGAGUGAACAGGGAAAAGCUCAAAGUUGGAACCUCCUGGCCCUAGGUUAGGCGGAUUGUAAACUAAAGCUCUUGGGUAGUACGGUUGGCCUGAUAAAAAAGUUCUCUGGAAAGAGGCGACAUAGAGGGUGAUAUCCCCGUCUUUGGUCAGAGCUCAAUCAUGCGUUUGCCCUUUAGCGAAGAGUCAGGUUGUUUGGGAAUGCAGCCUAAAAUGGGAGGUAAAUCUCUCCUAAAGCUAAAUAUUGACGAAAGACCGAUAGCGAACAAGUACCGUGAGGGAAAGAUGAAAAGCACUUUGAAAAGAGGGUCAAAAAGUACGUGAAAUUGCUGAAAGGGAACCGUAUGAAAUCAGUCUGAUGUGUUGGUAAUCAAUCUGGAUCUCGAUCUGGAUGCACUUGCCAAUGUAUUAGCCUGCGACAAUUUGAUCUGGAGGAAAAAAGAUGGGAGAAUGUGGCCUUGUCUUCGGGGAAGGUGUUAUAGCUCCUGUCAAAAUACUUUGGAUUGGAUUGAGGAUCGCAGCGAGCCGCAAGGUAAGGGUCUUACGCGCUUGAUCUGAUUAAAAAAAGAAUCUCUGCUUCGGGUGGUGCUUUUUUUAAUUGGGCCAACACGUGUAUUUCUCCUUUUUCUCGCUUAGGUCGUAGGCAUAAUGAUUUAUAUGA